GGAACUGUACUUUAAAAUAAAAGAUCUGAUUUGCAUUUAGAAAAUAGGAUUUUUAUCCUUAGUUCCA
rnacentral:tRNA from 1 species